CUAGGAUACUCUUUAUUCUUAUCAGAAUAUUAUUAUAUCUAAAAAUACAUCUAUUAAGAUAUAUAAUUAUUCUUUUCCCCAAAGAUUUUUAUUUCUUAAUAUAUAAUAUUGGUACUAUGUGCACUACAAUUGUAUGAGUGAUCAAUUUUGUCAACUAUUUAGGUUAGCUAUGGGUUAGCAUAGCAUUGGUUUAUUGUGUGUUAGCUCCUGUUGUUGUAUAUACAUGUUUUUCAUAAUUGUAUUGUCAUUACUGUACAGAUAUUUCGUCUAUUUAUGUAUGUAUGUAUAUUGACCUCUUGCACACUAUUGUGUCUGAGGAUAAUAAAACUUUGAAUCUUGUGUCUUGGUUAUGGGUAAUCAGAAAGGUAUGACUAAUGGAUGUGUAUUUUUCAAAAGCCUUAAUUAUUAUUAUCUUAAUGAAUCAUCAUUAACUGGCAAUUUUACAGUACGUAUUACAUAUGUUAUAUAUGAAGUAGGAAACUUUCAAUUGUAGCAUAAAAUGGUAUUUUUGUCUUUU
rnacentral:lncRNA from 1 species